GCUCACUGCUCUGUCUGUCACC
rnacentral:miRNA from 1 species